rnacentral:rRNA from 1 species
GAUGAACGCUGGCGGCGUGCCUAAUACAUGCAAGUCGAGCGAACAGACGAGGGGUUUGCUCCUCUGACGUGUGCGGCGGACGGGUGAGUAACGUGUGGAUAACCUACCUAUAAGACUGGGAUGACUUCGGGAAACCGGAGCUAAUACCGGAUAAUAUAUUGAACCGCAUGGUUCAAUUGUGAAGGACGGUUUUGUUGUCAGUGAUAGAGGGAUCCGCGCCUCUUUAGCUAGUUGGUAAGGUAACGGCUUACCAAGGAGACAAUGCGUAGCCGACCUGAGAGGGGGAACCCCCCCACAGAGGGUGACAGGCGGUCCAGAGACCGACGGAAGGCACCGGUAGCGACUCUUCCGAACAGGGCGAAAGACUGCCGGAGGGACGCCGCGUGAGUGAUGAAGCUCUUCGGAUCGUAAGACGCUGUUAUUAGGGUAGACCAAAUGUGUAAGUAACUAAGCGCGUGUUGACGGUACCUAAUCAGAAGGCCCCGGCUACCUACGU